rnacentral:rRNA from 1 species
UACGGAGGAUGCGAGCGUUAUCCGGAUUUAUUGGGUUUAAAGGGUGCGUAGGCGGGCAUUUAGGCCGGCGGUCAAAUGUCGGGGCUCAACCCCGGCCUGCCGUCGGAACUGGGUGCCUUGAGUGGGCGAGAAGUAUGCGGAAUGCGUGGUGUAGCGGUGAAAUGCAUAGAUAUCACGCAGAACCCCGAUUGCGAAGGCAGCAUACCGGCGCCCGACUGACGCUGAGGCACGAAAGUGCGGGUAUCGAACAGG